GAAUAUUUAUGGCUUGCAAGCUCUUACAGCUUGAGCCUAAUAUUCGGGAUUACGACUGGACAUUCCAUCCAGGUAACCUUUUUCUUCACGUUUUAUUUAGAAAACGAUUUGAAUAUUAGAGUGUUAAAGUGAAGACGAAUAUUAACGGCUUGCAAGCUCUUACAGCUUGAGCCUAAUAUUCGGGAUUACGACUGGACAUUCCAUCCAGGUAACCUUUUUCUUCACGUUUUAUUUAGAAAAUGAUUUGAAUAUUAGAUUAAAACAAUUAAAGUACCGAGGUUUGAAAUUAUUGAAAGUUAAGUUGAUGUUGCUUAAGAGCUCAUUGUAAGAAGGCCCAAGAGUAAGCCAUGUGAGGUUGAUGGCGAUGCUUAAAAGCAAUCGACUUACAAGGGUAUAAAAAUGGGCUCGAUAUUGAAUCGAGAAAAAAUGUGAUUUUAAUAACUUAAAAUGGUUUUGAAUGAAUGAUGCAAUUAAAAGAAAACAAAUCUAUGUUAUGAUAAUGAAACUAUGAAUAUAACAAAGCAUAAACAUAAAAAAUGUUAAAAGAAAAAAAAAACACUACACAUGGGUAUCAAACUCACUCCACUAAAGAUCAUACAAACCACCCCUUUCCACCAAACCACCUAUGACUAGUUAUUAUUUUAAUACUAAUUUAGAUAUAUAAACCAAGAUAAAUUAAAAGAGUUAAAAUAAAAAAACUAAUAAAAAAGAAAAUCUGUUGGACUACCCUAAUUAAACCCAGCCGCUUGGCUGUUGGGUUUUUCAAUGGGAAUAUGAAUUGAAAAGGAGGAAACAUUUAUUAACUAUUUAGGAAGUUUAAACAAAAUUUUUAAUGGUUUCAAAAACUUAUUCUGUUUAAAACGAAUUAAAGAAAAAGAAAAAGAAAUUGGAAUAGUAACAGAAUCGUUCUUUCCCAAUCUCACUUUUCUCUCACACUCUCAAACAAAACUCACAGUCGCGUCCCUCUCAAUCUCACUCAGAAACCUCAAGAUUUUUCUAUCUCGCUCUCAACCGCUAUCCCUCAACCUCAUGAAUCUCUCUCACUCACUCUCAGCAAAACUCACAGUUUUAAAGGAAUCUGAAGUUUACCUCCGGUGGCGAUUUGGUAGUGACGAUGACGAUGAAGCCUAAACUUCACUCUUUCCUCUCUAAUCCAGGUAUGUUUCGAUUUUGGGGUUAGGGUUCUUGGUCGAAUUUGG
rnacentral:lncRNA from 1 species